GAACGAACGCUGGCGGCAUGCCUAAAACAUGCAAGUCGAACGGGUGUAGCAAUACACCAGUGGCAGACGGGUGCGUAACACGUGGGAACCUACCCAGAGGUUCGGAAUAGCUGCGGGAAACUGCAGGUAAUACCGGAUGUUGCCUGAGGGCUAAAGGAGCAAUCCGCCUUCGGAGGGGCCCGCGUCCGAUUAGCUAGUUGGUGAGGUAACGGCUCACCAAUGCGACGAUCGGUAGCUGGUCUGAGAGGAUGACCAGCCACACUGGAACUGAGAUACGGUCCAGACUCCUACGGGAGGCAGCAGUUGGGAAUAUUUGGACAAUGGGGGAAACCCUGAUCCAGCAAUGCCGCGUGGGUGAUGAAGGCCUUCGGGUUUGUAAAGCCCUUUUGGCGGGGACGAUGAUGACGGUACCCGCAGAAUAAGCCCCGGCUAACUUCGUGCCAGCAGCCGCGGUAAUACGAAGGGGGCUAGCGUUGUUCGGAAUUACUGGGCGUAAAGGGCGCGUAGGCGGCCGUGCAAGUCAGAUGUGAAAGCCCUGGGCUCAACCCAGGAGGUGCAUUUGAUACUGCAUGGCUAGAGUGUCGGAGAGGAUGGUGGAAUUCCCAGUGUAGAGGUGAAAUUCGUAGAUAUUGGGAAGAACACCGGUGGCGAAGGCGACCAUCUGGACGACAACUGACGCUGAGGCGCGAAAGCGUGGGGAGCAAACAGGAUUAGAUACCCUGGUAGUCCACGCCGUAAACUAUGCGUGUUGGACGUUGGCGAGCCUAGCUCGUCGGUGUCGCAGCUAACGCGUUAAACACGCCGCCUGGGGAGUACGGCCGCAAGGUUAAAACUCAAAGGAAUUGACGGGGGCCCGCACAAGCGGUGGAGCAUGUGGCUUAAUUCGAUGCAACGCGCAGAACCUUACCAGGCCUUGACAUGGGGGUUAUGGGUCGGAGAAAUCUGAUCCUUCAGUUCGGCUGGGCCCCACACAGGUGCUGCAUGGCUGUCGUCAGCUCGUGUCGUGAGAUGUUGGGUUAAGUCCCGCAACGAGCGCAACCCUCACCUUCAGUUGCCAGCGGUUCGGCCGGGCACUCUGAAGGAACUGCCGGUGACAAGCCGGAGGAAGGCGGGGAUGACGUCAAGUCCUCAUGGCCCUUACGGCCUGGGCUACACACGUGCUACAAUGGUGGUGACAGUGGGAUGCAAAGGCGCAAGCAUGAGCCGAUCUCCAAAAGCCAUCUCAGUCCAGAUUGCACUCUGCAACUCGAGUGCAUGAAGGCAGAAUCGCUAGUAAUCGCGGAUCAGCAUGCCGCGGUGAUACGUUCCCAGCAUGUACACA
rnacentral:rRNA from 1 species